rnacentral:rRNA from 1 species
CAGCAGCCGCGGGAAUACGUAGGGUGCGAGCGUUAAUCGGAAUUACUGGGCGUAAAGCGUGCGCAGGCGGUUAUAUAAGACAGAUGUGAAAUCCCCGGGCUCAACCUGGGACCUGCAUUUGUGACUGUAUAGCUAGAGUACGGUAGAGGGGGAUGGAAUUCCGCGUGUAGCAGUGAAAUGCGUAGAUAUGCGGAGGAACACCGAUGGCGAAGGCAAUCCCCUGGACCUGUACUGACGCUCAUGCACGAAAGCGUGGGGAGCAAACAGGAUUAGAGACCCCUGUAGUCCCUGUCUCUUAUAC